rnacentral:rRNA from 1 species
GAUGAACGCUGGCGGCGUGCCUAAUACAUGCAAGUCGAGCGAACAGACGAGGAGCUUUCUCCUCUGACGUUAGCGGCUGACGGGUGAGUAACACGUGGAUAACCUACCUAUAAUACUGGGAUAACUUCGGGAAACCGGAGCUAAUACCGGAUAAUAUAUUGAACCGCAUGGUUCAAUAGUGAAAGACGGUUUUGCUGUCACUUAUAGAUGGAUCCGCGCCGCAUUAGCUAGUUGGUAAGGUAACGGCUUACCAAGGCAACGAUGCGUAGCCGACCUGAGAGGGUGAUCGGCCACACUGGAACUGAGACACGGUCCAGACUCCUACGGGAGGCAGCAGUAGGGAAUCUUCCGCAAUGGGCGAAAGCCUGACGGAGCAACGCCGCGUGAGUGAUGAAGGUCUUCGGAUCGUAAAACUCUGUUAUUAGGGAAGAACAAAUGUGUAAGUAACUAUGCACGUCUUGACGGUACCUAAUCAGAAAGCCACGGCUAACUACGUG